AAUAGAUACCCGGGUAGUCCACGCCGUAAACGAUGAGUGCUAAGUGUUAGGGGGUUUCCGCCCCUUAGUGCUGCAGCUAACGCAUUAAGCACUCCGCCUGGGGAGUACGGUCGCAAGACUGAAACUCAAAGGAAUUGACGGGGGCCCGCACAAGCGGUGGAGCAUGUGGUUUAAUUCGAAGCAACGCGAAGAACCUUACCAGGUCUUGACAUCCCACUGACCGCUAUGGAGACAUAGUUUUCCCUUCGGGGACAGUGGUGACAGGUGGUGCAUGGUUGUCGUCAGCUCGUGUCGUGAAAUGUUGGGUUAAGUCCCGCAACGAGCGCAACCCUUGAUCUUAGUUGCCAUCAUUUAGUUGGGCACUCUAAGGUGACUGCCGGUGACAAACCGGAGGAAGGUGGGGAUGACGUCAAAUCAUCAUGCCCCUUAUGACCUGGGCUACACACGUGCUACAAUGGACGGUACGAACGGUUGCCAACCCGCGAGGGGGAGCUAAUCCGAUAAAACCGUUCUCAGUUCGGAUUGUAGGCUGCAACUCGCCUACA
rnacentral:rRNA from 1 species